rnacentral:tRNA from 1 species
AGAGCGGAAGCUAUGAAGCAAUUAGCUGUUACCUAAUUAAAAGUGAAACCAAAUUCACCCACUCUACCA